ACCAAGUCUACGAUCUAUAGCUGAUUUGAGAGGAUGAUCAGCCACAUUGGGACUGAGACACGGCCCAGACCCUACGGGAGGCAGCAGUGAGGAAUCUUGACAAUGGGGCAAGCUGAUGCAGCGAUGCCGCGUGAGUGAAGAAGGUCCUUUGGAUUUGUAAAGCUCUUUCGUCAGGGAAGAUAAUGACAGUACCUG
rnacentral:rRNA from 1 species